CUUCACAAGAGCAGAGAGAAACCUGUCUGCGGAAUCUUAUAUGUUUAAUAUUUCAAGGAGCAUUCAGAGGUUUCCAGAGCAUUUCUCUAAGCAUCUGACUCUACAGCUGACUGUACUCAGAACAGAAUUUGAGCAUGCAGGACAUUCUUCAAGGCUGUUUCUCAAGCCAUAUCCAUUCUCUACUGUUUGUCUGGAUGAUCCACCUCCAUGAUUUUCUACAGCACAUCUUAUAAAAGCUAAAUUCAACUUUGAAUGCAAAAAAUUAUUCACUUACUUUUCAGAGGUGCUAGAAGGAAACUUUUGUUAAUGUUUUGACUUUAAUAAACUGCAUGCUUCUUGUUCUCA
rnacentral:lncRNA from 1 species